rnacentral:rRNA from 1 species
CAUUUUAGUUUGCUUGCAACUGAAGAUGGCGACCGGCGCACGGGUGAGUAACACGUAUCCCUCCUGCCGAUAACUCCGGGAUAGCCUUUCGAAAGAAAGAUUAAUACCGGAUGGCAUACGAAUAUCGCAUGAUAUUUUUAUUAAAGAAUUUCGGUUAUCGAUGGGGAUGCGUUCCAUUAGUUUGUUGGCGGGGUAACGGCCCACCAAGACUACGAUGGAUAGGGGUUCUGAGAGGAAGGUCCCCCACAUUGGAACUGAGACACGGUCCAAACUCCUACGGGAGGCAGCAGUGAGGAAUAUUGGUCAAUGGGCGCGAGCCUGAACCAGCCAAGUAGCGUGAAGGAUGAAGGCUCUAUGGGUCGUAAACUUCUUUUAUAUGGGAAUAAAGUAUUCCACGUGUGGGAUUUUGUAUGUACCAUAUGAAUAAGGAUCGGCUAACUCCGUGCCAGCAGCCGCGGUAAUACGGAGGAUCCGAGCGUUAUCCGGAUUUAUUGGGUUUAAAGGGAGCGUAGGUGGAUUGUUAAGUCAGUUGUGAAAGUUUGCGGCUCAACCGUAAAAUUGCAGUUGAAACUGGGAGUCUUGAGUACAGUAGAGGUGGGCGGAAUUCGUGGUGUAGCGGUGAAAUGCUUAGAUAUCACGAAGAACUCCGAUUG